GUACUUGUUAAACUCAGGUAGUUUGUCCAGGUCUAGCAGGGCAGAGACAGACAGAGACAGGUAGUGUACUUGUUAAACUCAGGUAGUUUGUCCAGGUCUAGCAGGGCAGAGACAGACAGACAGAGACAGGUAGUGUACUUGUUAAACUCAGGUAGUUUGUCCAGGUCUAGCAGGGCAGAGUCAGACAGAGACAGGUAGUGUACUUGUUAAACUCAGGUAGUUUGUCCAGGUCUAGCAGGGCAGAGACAGACAGAGACAGGUAGUGUACUUGUUAAACUCAGGUAGUGUGUCCAGGUCUAGCAGGGCAGAGACAGACAGAGACAGGUAGUGUACUUGUUAAACUCAGGUAGUUUGUCCAGGUCUAGCAGGGCAGAGACAGACAGAGACAGGUAGUGUACUUGUUAAACUCAGGUAGUGUGUCCAGGUCUAGCAGGGCAGAGUCAGACAGAGACAGGUAGUGUACUUGUUAAACUCAGGUAGUGUGUCCAGGUCUAGCAGGGCAGAGACAGACAGAGACAGGUAGUGUACUUGUUAAACUCAGGUAGUUUGUCCAGGUCUAGCAGGGCAGAGACAGACAGAGACAGGUAGUGUACUUGUUAAACUCAGGUAGUGUGUCCAGGUCUAGCAGGGCAGAGACAGACAGACAGGUAGUGUACUUGUUAAACUCAGGUAGUGUGUCCAGGUCUAGCAGGGCAGAGACAGACAGACAGGUAGUGUACUUGUUAAACUCAGGUAGUUUGUCCAGGUCUAGCAGGGCAGAGUCAGACAGAGACAGGUAGUGUACUUGUUAAACUCAGGUAGU